ensembl:misc_RNA Y_RNA Y RNA
GGCUGGCCUGAGUGCAGUGGUGUUUACAGCUAAUCGAUCACAACCAGUUACAGAUUUUAUUUGUUCCUUCUCCACUCCCACCACUUCACUUGACUAGCCCUAA